rnacentral:rRNA from 1 species
UACAGAGGUCUCAAGCGUUGUUCGGAAUCACUGGGCGUAAAGCGUGCGUAGGCUGUUUCGUAAGUCGUGUGUGAAAGGCGCGGGCUCAACCCGCGGACGGCACAUGAUACUGCGAGACUAGAGUAGUGGAGGGGGAACCGGAAUUCUCGGUGUAGCAGUGAAAUGCGUAGAUAUCGAGAGGAACACUCGUGGCGAAGGCGGGUUCCUGGACAUUAACUGACGCUGAGGCACGAAGGCCAGGGGAGCGAAAGGG